rnacentral:piRNA from 1 species
UGUGGUGUCAUACUUGGAAUAACAUUU